rnacentral:rRNA from 1 species
CCUACGGGUGGCAGCAGUAGGGAAUCUUCCACAAUGGGCGCCAGCCUGAUGGAGCAACGCCGCGUGGGUGAAGAAGGUCUUCUGAUCGUAACACCCUGUUGUUAGAGAAGACAGUGCGUGAGAGUAACUGUUCACGUUUCGACGGUAUCUAACCAGAAAGCACCGGCUAACUCCGUGCCAGCAGCCGCGGUAAUACGUAGGUGGCAAUCGUUAUCCGUAUUUACUGGGCGUAAAGGGAACGCAGGCGGUCUUGUAAGUCUGAUGUGAAAGCCUUGGGCUUAACCGGAGUAGUGCAUUGGAAACUGGGAGACUUGAGUGCAGGAGAGGAGAGUGGAACUCCAUGUGUAGCGGUGAAAUGCGUAGAUAGAUGGAAGAACACCAGUGGCGAAAGCGACUCUCUGGUC